AAUCAGUUAUCGUUUAUUUGAUAGUACCCUCUACUUGGAUACCUGUGGCAAUUCUAGAGCUAAUACAUGCUAAAAACCCCGACUUCGGAAGGGGUGUAUUUAUUAGAUAAAAAACCAAUGCCCUUCGGGGCUACUUGGUGAAUCAUAAUAACUUAACGAAUCGCAUGGCCUUGCGCCGGCGAUGGUUCAUUCAAAUUUCUGCCCUAUCAACUUUCGAUGGUAAUAUAGAGGAUUACCAUGGUUUCUACGGGUAACGGGGGAUUAGGGUUCGAUACCGGAGAGGGAGCCUGAGAAACGGCUACCACAUCCAAGGAAGGCAGCAGGCGCGCAAAUUACCCAAUCCCGAUACGGGGAGGUAGUGACAAUAAAUACUGAUGUGGAGCUCUUUUGGGUUUCGCAAUUGGAAUGAGUACAAUUUAAAUCCCUUAAAAUCACUCGUGGGGGAUUGACGACAGCCGGAAUAUGAAAAUCUGGCAACACUCUUUACUUUCGAGAAUUCCCGAAUAGUCGGGAAAACUCGAAGCCUAAGUGGUUCCUAAGGCUCAGAGACUAAACGAGAGUGGGUGAGUUGUAAUCGGCUCAUUUUUGAUAUAGUCCAACCCUCUGGGUUAAAUCCAGAGGUAACCGUGUAACGAGGAACAAUUGGAGGGCAAGUCUGGUGCCAGCAGCCGCGGUAAUUCCAGCUCCAAUAGCGUAUAUUAAAGUUGUUGCAGUUAAAAAGCUCGUAGUUGAAACUUGGGCUUGGUUGACCGGUCCGCCCUCACCGCGUGCACUGGUUCGACCGAGCCUUUCCUUGUGGGGAGUCGCAUGCCCUUAAUUGGUGUGUCGAGGAACCACGACUUUUACUUUGAAAAAUUAGAGUGUCAAGCAGNCUAUGCUCGGAUACA
rnacentral:rRNA from 1 species